UGGGGAAUUUUGGACAAUGGGCGAAAGCCUGAUCCAGCAAUGCCGCGUGUGUGAAGAAGGCCUUCGGGUUGUAAAGCACUUUUGUCCGGAAAGAAAUCCUUGGCUCUAAUACAGUCGGGGGAUGACGGUACCGGAAGAAUAAGCACCGGCUAACUACGUGCCAGCAGCCGCGGUAAUACGUAGGGUGCAAGCGUUAAUCGGAAUUACUGGGCGUAAAGCGUGCGCAGGCGGUUUGCUAAGACCGAUGUGAAAUCCCCGGGCUCAACCUGGGAACUGCAUUGGUGACUGGCAGGCUAGAGUAUGGCAGAGGGGGGUAGAAUUCCACGUGUAGCAGUGAAAUGCGUAGAGAUGUGGAGGAAUACCGAUGGCGAAGGCAGCCCCCUGGCAAGUACUGACGCUCAUGCACGAAAGCGUGGGGAGCAAACAGGAUUAGAUACCCUGGUAGUCCACGCCCUAAACGAUGUCAACUAGUUGUUGGGGAUUCAUUUCCUUAGUAACGUAGCUAACGCGUGAAGUUGACCGCCUGGGGAGUACGGUCGCAAGAUUAAAACUUAAAUGAAUUGACGGGGUCAUAGCUGUUUCCU
rnacentral:rRNA from 1 species